rnacentral:sRNA from 1 species
CAGCGGAUAAUGAGGAAAAGAGGCCGCCUGUGCUUGCACAGAGCGGCCUCUUGACGAUUUAAGCCGCGCCCCUCAUGAGGAUGCAGCAGGGGCAGGGGCUCCGCGGAAUCCGAAUGAGGGCAGCACAGCGGGAGUGCGCAGCACGAAGCUGUGCGUGG